GCAGGCACUCUCAGAACACAGCCUGCCGGCCCCAGCACCCGGCCUUGCUCCCAGCCUCUUCCCUCUGUAUUCAGCUCAGGCGCUCAGGACUGCCAGGACCCAGAGGAUUCACACGCCAGCCCCGGCUGAAGCCCAGCUCCUCAUCAACCGGUGAGCCGCCUGCCAGCUCCUGCUCCAGCUGCUGAGAGGCCUGAAGAGACCAAGACAGAGACACAGCCCCGCAGCACCACAGGGAGGCCCCAGUUACCCCAUGCGGAUGAGUUUCAUGGCCAUCUCUAACUAAGGACAGGACAUCGAUGUCAUCUGUAACUUCCGGUGCACUGGGGCACACAGCUGCAUCUCCCCAUGCUCACCUCCUGCCUCUUGCUCUGCCCAGUAAGCUCGCCAACCCCCGUGGACUGCUGGCUCUCAAGGCGGCCG
rnacentral:lncRNA from 1 species